rnacentral:rRNA from 1 species
UACAGAGGUCUCAAGCGUUGUUCGGAUUCAUUGGGCGUAAAGGGUGCGUAGGUGGCGCCGUAAGUCGGGUGUGAAAUUUCGGAGCUUAACUCCGAAACUGCACUUGAUACUGUAAUGCUCGAGUACUGGAGAGGAGAUUGGAAUUUACGGUGUAGCAGUGAAAUGCGUAGAUAUCGUAAGGAAGACCAGUGGCGAAGGCGAAUCUCUGGACAGUUACUGACACUGAGGCACGAAGGCCAGGGGAGCAAACGGG